ensembl:lncRNA
GCCUGGACUGCAGCAGCAGCAGCAGCAGCAUGAAAAUCCUCCUUAGCCCUUUUCUGGGAGAAGAGCCUGAUGACACAGCUAAUGCAUGGUUUUAAUACUAAAGCCACAGAGAUAAGAUUUCUACCAAAGGAAUGGAGGGGUAUUUCGUGACAGGACUAAAGAAACAAGAGCGAAAUUAGAUUUCCAGUGUUGGCACGAGCCCCCAGGUGGUGAGGCAAGCAAAAAUCUUUGCUCAAAAGGCAAUGUAUGACCCAGCCAUCCAAGCUCAUCAGGGACAAAGACUAACAUCAAGUACCCACCAUAGCCUUUCAGCCACAGGAAACGGAGAAGCAACUGAACAAGGGGGAAAUUCUGCCUUCAAGAUCCACAUUCCACUCUUUUUAACUUUUUUUUGCUUCCAUUCAUAGGAACAAAAAGCAAUACCUUCCAAGACACCCACAUACAAUGCCGCCAUUACUUCAAAGUUGUGUCACGAGUUUUAUUUUCAACUAGCUCUGUAAUUGGAGAAGGCAACGGCACCCACUCCAGUGCUCUUGCCUGGAAAAUCCCAUGGACGGAGGAGCCUGGUAGGCUGCAGUCCAUGGGGUCGCUAAGAGUCAGACAAGACUGAGCAACUUCACUUUCACUUUUCACUUUCAUGCAUUGGAGAAGGAAAUGGCAGCCCACUCCAGUGUUCUUGCCUGGAGAAUCCCAGGGACGGGGGAGCCUGGUGGGCUGCCGUCUAUGGGGUCGCAAGAGUCGGACACGACUGAAGCGACUUAGCAGCAGCAGCUGUGUAAUUUGCAGCUUUCCCGAGUCAUCUACAAGAUGGAAACCAUGUCUGUGAGUGAAGAUGAGAAUCUAUGAGUUCAUAUUCAUUCGUAUAUUAAAAAUUAGCUACAGAAGUUUUCAGGACAGGGACUUAUUUUGGGGAGAACCACCCUUCAAGCCACUGCAGAUGCUGAUGCCUGAAUAUUUGUCAAUGAAGACAGGACCUGAGUGCUCCUACACCAUACCUGACUGUUACAACUGGAAAACUAUGAACUCGGCAGGUUUGGUCGAGGUGCCCUCUGGCCCCUGGCACGCAGUUCUCCUGGUCUUCUGGAAGCAGAGAGAAAUAUACAUCCUGGUCUCUGAGGAGAACAUCAGGCGUGGACAGGAGGGCAUCGCCUGUCAGUCUACAUCAAGGCCUGGUGCGUCCUUCACCCCUGCGUCAUUUGUGAGUCUUGUGAUUCGAGGAAGCCGCUUGAUUUCUU